rnacentral:lncRNA from 1 species
UUUUGUUAAAUUUAAAACGAUCUCACAAAAAAAAUUUACCUAAAGUCACUAAUACUUUAGAACCGAUAUGCAUGUAGUGCAUGUUUUGUAAUCAUCUUUUUAUUUUGUAAAGUCAAUUUUUUUCUGAAUCAUAAUCGUGACUUUACAACAAGCUCAAGCAUAUCCUUCAAAGAUUCUGAAUCUUAAUCCUAAAUUGGUAUAAAUGUGGUCAUUUAUGGCUUAUGCAGACAAUUCCUGAAGUGCACACUAAAUAUCUUUGAUCAACAAAUAAUGACAUUGCGGUUCCAGUCAUAUAAGAGUUGGCUCAUAAGCAACAGCACGUGGCAUGCGCGAGGAUCACAGGCCAAGAGGCCAACGGAGACGUUUUGGUCGACUUUAGGAGUCAACGUUUGUGGGUGUGUGGAUGGAGCAGAGAGCAAGAUUUGAAUUACAAAAGCUUGUAGGUUAGAAUGAAUUAAAUGUGACAAAUUUCUCGUUGAAAGUGUCCAUUUUAGUGCAUAUUACUCAGACGCCUUUUUUAUUUUAAGGUUAUGAUUACGUUAGAAUUUAUUUAUGGUAGAGUACGAAUCUCAGUCACACACUCAAAGUGAUAAAUAGUAAAAAAUUCAUUAUAAGUCAUUAUUUAUUAUUUAUCACUUUACGUGUGUGGUCAAAAUUCGUGCUCCAUUGUAAGUGAACUCCAACAUAAUCAAACCCUUAUUUUAAUCAUCUUUAAUAUCACAUUAUACUCUAUUGAUAUUAUAAUAAGAUUAACAAAUACAUUUAGAACAUAGUCCAAAGUUAAUUAGCAUGUUUUAAAAAUUUAUAACUAAUAUAGAUGUAUUCCCCUAGAAUUGGCUUAGGGAGCAGCUGCGCGGUGGCAGUGCAGCUGGCCCAAACAGGUAUGUAAUCUCCAUCACACUUAUAGAUAUUUUUUAUAAAAAAAAAAUAAUGAAUCUGUAAUAAGUACUCAAACUCAGAUUCUUUAAGAUAAAAGUUUUUUUUCACCCAACCAAUAGUCUAACUAGUUAAUUUAUCUUUGUAGUUUACUAAUAGCGUAGGGUUAAGGGUUAUCCUAACUUUAAUUUUAAGUUAUUUAAUAAUAAAUAUUAAAAGUCAAAAUAGUAUCGAAUGAUGACUAUUCACCGGCUAUUAAAUUUCUUAAAGCCAAUAAUGUAAUUUUAAAUAUACAUAUUCUAAUUUUUUUUAUCGAAUUCCAACCCACAAAAGGCGCAGACCAAUUUUAUGUUAGCGUAUUUAUCGUGUAAUGAAAUGGUCAAAAUAUCGAACAUUCAUAUCGUGAUUUAGAGCAAAUGAGUGGGCGCGGUCUGGUGGUGCGGUGGUGGUGGGGACAGAACACAUUCACGAAUCUUACUACGUAAACGAUGACACCUAAGCUAGCGUGUGAAGCGGAAAAGGUAAUUUUGUCAUCUUGCUCGUAAAAGGCUGAAUCUGCCAAAAGCCGUAAGGUUGGCCUUUUUUGGCACGUGUGGUCCAUGACAACCGAUGCGGUGCCAUGCCCAUGCCUUUGAACUCCGUUGGUGUUUUCUUGUCGGCUCUUAUUGAUUUGUUUUUUUAAUCUUGUCUUUUUAUUAUUAUUUUAUUACCAUUUAUUUUUGUUAUAUUUAUAAUCCCCAUAAAUUAAUAAUACAUUUAUAAAUGUAUAAUACAAAUUGUAAUUAAUUAUCAUAAUAAGAUAAUAAUUAUGCUAUUGUCAAGUGCAAUGCAACACACUGCGAAUAUGAAUCUUUUAGUGUUGAAUGAUUUUGAAUUGAAUACAAUAUUUACUAACGAAUUCUAAUACGGUCAUGCACUGAAUAAAUAAUUCAAGUGUUAGUUAAUAAUUAGUAAAUAAAAAAUAAAAAAUUAAAUAUUACCAAUAUACUAUCAUGAAAAGACACGUAAAAAGUGAUUAAUAAAAUUCAAAUUAGGAGAAAAUUUUAUUUCUACCCACACACAAUUCAACUCUUUUGUGUACGGUCCAAGUCUUAAGUUUUAAAACUUGUUAGUCUUCCCAUUAAGCUUUGAUCUCGAGUGUCUAGACACAUUUGCCUUGUAAAUCGUAAUACGGCCCCAGCACACAAGUUUUUGGAUUUUUUUUGUUCAAUCGUUACAGUCUACACAUAAUCACAUUUAAAAAAAAUCAAAAGAGUGGUGCUAAGUAGAGAGAGAGAGCUGAGAGAACGGUGAGAAAAAUUUGUUCUCUCUCUCUCUAUCAUUUUUUUAAUUAUUUCUUUCAGUGUUUUCUCAACUUUCUCUCUACCUAGUAUUUUUCAAUCUAAAAAUGUGCUUGAUGCACUUGUUUGAUAGAAAGUCUCUCUUCGGUUGGUGUCUGGUAACCCAGCAAUUAUAUGUUUCAUAAAUUCGCAUGCUCUUUGUAUUAUUAAUUUUUCCCUCUUUAAUGCCACUUUUGAAAUUUGUGAAUGACUGAUUAACUUUAGUCUCCUUUGACCAAAAGCGGCCUUGAGCCCUUGAAGUAGUGGAGGAAAGUGGGCGAGAGGCGAGAGCCAACCAAACCAACUGGGAGAAUGAAUUAUGAAGAUGCAUUGCUGCUAUCCGCAAAAGCUCACUCAGCUGACUCAUGUCAUGUGACAAAGUAUAAGCAGGCGAGGCAGCCAUUACUAAUGACAGCUACCAGCUUUUGGGAGUUAAUGUAAAGACAAACCCUAACCCUAAGUAAUUGAAAGCCUAGUUUUAUUUAGUUUUAAAUGCUUUUCAUUUAUGAGCCCGUGGUAGAGCAGACAUGGACGGUUCCCUAUUUAUGUGUUCUCCUCAAAAGUCACCAGUUUUACUCUUUACUUUUACAGAAAGGCUGACCCCAGGUUUUGCCUUUCGCUUGUUGGGUCAUGCUAUGGUACAGCUAGGGAGUCAAAUGCAUCAUGCUGAACUUAUAAAUUUUCAUUUGCUAAUUAUCUCUUGCUUGGGGCUUUUUCUGUUACAAAGCUUGUUUUAUUUGCUAUCUAUAACGAAAAUUUUGAUAUUUAAAAAUGAGAUUAUAAGAACAAUUUACACCAUACGUUGACCAUAAGUAUCGCUGUUAUUGCCGUUAAGAAUUGCUAUCAAUAAUAAUUUGUUGCUGGCUCACUCCAACUUAGGGCAAGGGAUGUCAAGCCUCUCUCCAUUUGUAAAUGUUGAAGAAGGCUCACUUCCAAACAAAUUGGGAAUAUACAUCAAAAUUGGGCUUGUAGGGUAAUGGUUUUUAUGACGAGUUAUGGUAUUUAACUCCCGCAUUAUAUCUCAUCAGCCCCCAUUAAUAAAUUUUAUACUAAUAUCUUUUUUAUCCUUUUUAUAAAAUAUUUUAAAAGGGUAAAUAGUUUUUAAAUGCAUCACCGUGAUAAUUUCUAUUAAUAUUUAAUUUAGUUAAUCUAAUUUUUUAAACCCUAAUUUCUUUUUAACUUUUUAAAUUAUUUUCUCUUU